UUAAGUAUGAUAUAUUGGAUGUAAAAUAUACAACAACCACACUUCUACUUUAAUUUAAUCGCGUAAAAAAUAAACACUCCCUAAAAUAAUUUAGACUGUAUUUUUAAAAUCAGGCUCCUUGUUAGUGGUAUUUCAAGAGCUAUUACUGAUAUAAAAAUAUACAGCGGUACUAUUAAAUACAGUUAUACAAAAAUAGUAGUGAAUAUGUUUGUAUACACAUUUUAGGUAAUUUUAGAUGCGAAAAAAUAAUAUUAAAUUACAGUUUGAGAACAAUUUGAAGUAAAUCAAAAACUGAUCAAACACGUUAACACUCAUCUCCGUGGUGAUUGCCGCUUACAACAAUGUUUAUGAUUUAGAAUAAUAAUUACUCAAUGGUUACACGUUGCGCAGGGUUUGUAUUAAUAUCAUAUUAAAAAAAAUUAAAUUUCUAGAUAAGACCCAUGCAUAUUACAUGAUUUGUACAAAAUAAAUUGAUUAUUUUUAUUGAUUUUAAUUUAAAAAGUCUUUAGUGAAAAAAAAAUAUGAUUUGAAAAUAUACAUUUAGUUUUUUUGUAUCCUUGAAAAUGAUCCUAUUCUCGUAUCCCUUUGAGAAUUUACAGGAGUGCAAAUACUAAUGUAAAAUGAAUGAAGGAUAUGCAAAAAUGUAACAAUUGUAUUUGACAAGGUAAAAACUAAAUUUUCAAAUGUAACAGUCUCAAGAGGAUAAACUAAAGCUGUUAUAACAAAAUUGGUAUAGGAGAAGAUUACCUAAUACAAAUCAGUGAUGUUACGCGCGUAGCUGAGAGGAUUAGAUCAAUAUUAAUUUUUUUCUCUAUUGAUAUAUACAGGGAUUUAAUAAUUGCAAAUAAUAUUUAUAUAAUUAUAUUAUUUUAUUUCAAAAUAUAAGUCAAUGUAUUUAAUGUA